rnacentral:lncRNA from 1 species
UAGGGAUUGGGGAGUGUUUGCUGAUCAAGUACAGGGACUGAGUUUAGAUCUUAACACCUGUGUACAGGGGGUAGUGGUGUCCGUAACUCCAGCACUGUGGUAAUGGACAUGCAGGUGGAUUCCUGGAGCUUGCUAGCCAGCAAUUUGUUCUUAGGAGUAACCCAACAGAAGAGACUGAGAGGAUGCCCUCAAGCCCCAGUUGGGGGUCUGCCUUGGAAGUGAGAAGGGCAGAUAUUGGUCACUGUUAGGUGAGGAAGUGUUUGGCUCUGCUCGCUCUAGGUGGUGGGCUGCCGGCAGCGAGAGCUGGGUAGGAAUUGUGGCGCUCCUGUGUAGUGCAGGCCAAGAAGCCAAUUAAGGACUUGCCAAUAACAUCCCGACUUCAGCUCAGUUUCUUAGUUUCUGUUUUGUUUUGUUGUAUUUUGUUGUUUGGUUAUUUUUUUUAGUUUUUUUUCCUCCCUGCUACCCCGCCCCCCAGCUUUUAGGGUCUCGCUUUAUAUCUUUGGCUGGCUUGAAACUCACUAUGUGGACCAUAUUAGUCCAGAACUUUUAUAAUUGCCUGUCUCAGCCUCCCAGCUGGUAGGGUUACAGAUGUGAACAUCACACUCAGCUUCCUGUCUUAUAUUAUUUUAUUUAUUUAUUUUUGAGACAGAAUCUCUAUGUGUAGCCCUAGCUGUCUUGAUACUUGCUAAGUAGACCAGGGUGGCCUUGAACUCACAGAUAAUCCAGCUGCCUCAGUCUUCCUCUGCUGAGACCGAAGGUGUGUGCACCACCAUGCCCAGACUUUUAUAGGUUUUUGAAACAGGAUCUCAUUCUGUAGAUGAGGCUAUUCUCGAACUCACACCUCAUCUGCCUCCUGAAUUCGGAGAACACCAGUGUGAGCCGCGCGGCACAGCUCCGGCUUCCUGGUUUUUCCGUCACUUCAGCUGUUGGUGCUGAGAGGGUAGUGCUGGACAGAAGGUUGCUCAGGAGUCGGAAUGUCAGUGGAGCCAGGAGGCCAUGACCACUACGUGGGUGAUCUUUUGCACUCUGAUCUGAGAAGAGGUUCUGCUCUGCUCGCCUCUACUCCAUGUCCUGGUCCCAGAGUCCCC